ensembl:lncRNA
CCGAAACGUCAUUAAUGUUGGAGUUUCACUGUUCUUGGUCCGAGUGGCUCUUAGCUUAAAAAUGAAAAAUCUUUCCACGAUGUAAAAGAAGAAGCUCUCGUUUUCCACGGCAAUAACACUUGGAGAGACUGCAGAAUGAAUCAACGUGAGUGGAAAGAUGCUGUCCACAGACUCCAGAGACUUCUGGAGCCAAGCCGCCACAGCAUGGGGAAUGCCUCCAGAGGUUACAGAGAGUGGGACACUUACCACGAACACUCGAGAUAUACUGUUCCUGAACCACAUAGGAGUGAUGUGAGGUGGAAAGAGCUCAGUUCUUCAUCUCAUCAUGUUCAUAGUAAAGUCCCAGAGGUGGAGGACCCGGACGGAGAGCCGCUGCCAUACAGUGAAGAGGAUGUAGAGCUAGCAAGAAACAAGCAGCUCCUCAGAGAGAUGGAGGAGAGAAUUAUGCACAAGAAAGCUACACUCGCCACGAAAACGCGGUUUGUGGAGACACCACCAGGUGUUUCCGGUGACGAGCCUCCGGCUAUGUGUGUAGGUCAAACUCUAAGAGACAGAGUGAAGGAGAUUCUGAUGCAGCGACAAUACCUCAGCUAUUUCUCAAAGGUGCAGUCGGCCAGAGAGAGAAGGAGCUCCUCCUGCCCGAGCAAAGGCGGUGUGCUGCAGGAACAGCAUCCUCUGAAGCUCAGAGUGAAGGUUCUAAUGAAGAAGAGACACACUGUUGUACCACCUUACAGUGAACAGUGGCUGAUGAUUUGGAAGUGCUGAGAACAAUUUCAGACGUGUUUACCUGAGACCUGGAUCAUGGCAGCAUGGCCCUGACGUUGCGUGGCCUCUUUCCAGCCCAAGCGUUACAUCACCGGCUAAGAGAGAGGACGUCAUCAACAAGGGUUUCGAGUGCUUCCUCAGCGUGCUCAACAAAGGAGUCGACAUCAACUUGCUCAAACCUGAGGAUGACUGUGGCGAGGUCCCUGGUGUGUCACUGCCACCUCUCGGCCGAAGCAUUUCUUCACCAGCAAAGGAUGAAAAUAAUGUCAACAAGGGUUUUGAGCGCUUCCUCAGCAUCCUCAACAAAGGCGUGGACAUCGAAAAGUUUAACAAGAUUAUGAGCAAUGAUAGAGAGGAUCUUCCUUUAGGUGAGGAGCCCCUGAACAUUCAGAUCCCUGACAUGGAGAGCAAAUCAGAUCCACCCUUUAGGACUGAGAAGCAACAGCUGAAUAGUGGAGCUUCGCUGCUGGGCCUCAGACAGCCCAGUGAAAGUAUACUCAGCAUGGACAAUGACAUUGAGCCGAGCCCCACCCAGAGAAAGGAAAGCCAACGGUUGUUUAGUGGUGCCUCACUGCAAGGUCUCAGCCCACCCAGUGAAAACCAGUGCUCAAACAGUAGAGCCAUUCUGUUACUCAGCCAGGCCAGUGAGAGCCAGUGGUCGAAGACUGAAGCCUCGUUGAAAGGCUUCAGCCAUCCCAGCAAGAGUAUUGGCAGCGGUGCCUCACAGCCAGUACUCAGCAAAGCCAGUGACAGUGAGCGGGCAGGCAGUGGAGCCCUGCUGACAGACUUCAACCACGCCAGUGAAAGCCAACAGUUAAAUACCGGAGCCUCACUGUCAGGCUUCAGCCUACCUAGCGAGAACCAGCACUCAAAAACUAGACCCAUUCUUCUAAGCCACGGAUGGGAAAGUGAGAGCCAUCGAUCGAAGAGUGGAUCCUCACUGAAGGAUCUCAGUCAGAAAAAUGAGAGUCUACUCAGUACAGCCAAUGAAGGUGAACCGGGCCUCAACCAGUCAAAGGAAAGCCAACGAUUAAAUACUGGAGCCUCGCUGAGGGGCCUCAGCCAGUCCAGUGAAGGUACUGGCAGUGGUGCUCCACAGCCUGGACUCAACAAAGCCAAAGACAGUGUGCGGUCAGACAGUGGAGUCCGGCUGACGGGCCUCAGCCAAGCCAAUGAAAGCCAACAGUUAAAUACUGGAGCCACAUCACCCAGUGAGAACCAACUCUCAAACACUAAGCCCAUUAGGCUGAACCUCAACUGGGCAAGCAAGAGCCAGUCGUUGAAAAGUGGACCCUUGCUGAAGGGUCUCAACCAGGACAGUAAGAGCCAGCAUUUAAAGAGUGGUGCCCUAAUUCCCGGGCUCGGUGAUGACAGUGACAGCGAGUCAAAUGGUAGAAACCUGCUGGCAGGCCUCAACAAGACCAACAGUAGAGAGAAAAAGACUGACUCAUCUACUCGAGAGAGGCUCUUCUUACCUGGUGAGGAGGAGGAGAAGAAGAAGAAGAGCAAAAGAGACCACAGUUUGGGCUCUAGUAAUCGAUUAAAGUCUCCGGUGGCACUGAAGAAGAAGGAGGAGGAAGAAACCUCAUCGGUGAGUGAGCAGCAUGAACAGCUGCAGAGCAUUCUUAAAACUCUGGGAUGGAACCUGGACGUGGACGAGCUGAGCAAACUGGCAAACCGCACUCAGGAGAGGCUGUGCGGGAGAAAAAACGAACGUGUGAACAGCAAAGAGGAGCACGAGAGCCGCCAGAAGCACUCUCGUGACCGAGAUCGCAGGAAGUCCUCAUCAGGCUCUCCUCUGCGGAGCAGCAAAACAGACCAGAGUCAGGAGAGAAUGCAUGGGAGCAAGAGCGAAGGGAGGGUGAGGAAGAGUGAAGGGAGGAGGAGGACUGAGAGCAGAGGGGAGGACGAGACACAGCAGAGGCGCUCUCUUAGAGAUCACAGAAAUUCCUCGUCCUCAUCUUCCUCCAGGUCAACCUCUAGAAGCUCUAGCCCGAGCCCCUCAUGCCGUCGACGCUCUCGCAGCAGAGAUUUGAAACGGAGGCGGAAGGCCGAACGAAGCCGCUCGCGAGAAAGAAGCAGAGAGAGACUGAAACACAGAGAUCGAUGGAACAGCAGAGAAACACUGAGGGACAGAGAGCGAAAAGACUCAAAACAUUUUUCUGCUUAUCCAUAUUCACAAAAUCCCGUGUUUCCUCAUCCUGCUGCUUCUCCAUAUCCAGACUACAUUUUGUCUCAGUACUCGCAUUUUGCUCUUAGCCAGAGUGGCCACUACAGCGGUGCUACAAAUCCUUACUGGUCAUACAAUCAGUACAACACUCCUCCCUCUCUUUCUGCCAGCAGCCAACCUUACCCGCACUUUCCUGGCUCUGUAGUGGCACCUAACAUGGCUUUCCCUGAUCCCAGCCUUCUUACAAACAGUGCCUCGUUUCCAAACCCGGACCUGUCUGUGAGCGAAGGCCAAGAUGGGUCAGCCUCUGUUUCUCGCUGCCUGAGAGUCAUCAAUACCGAGCAGGCAUCCUCUCAGAGCCUCACAGGUGGACACAACUGGAGACGGGGUCGCAAAAAACUUAUGGGAGAUUUCAGGAAUCCCAAAAGUAUUUUAGAGAAACACAAUAAUGCAUUGAAGACACCACUGGCACCACAGGACUCAAAGGUAUGCACCAAGACUGUGGGUAAUGACCCCUGCACUGAGGAGUUAAAAGAGGAGAAGCCACAGCUAACAGAGGAGGAAAUAAAGGCGAACCUGAGGAAAAAGCUUGAAGCUUUUAACCAGAAGGUAAAGAACACGAGCCAGAUGCCUCAGUCCAAAGUCAUGCAGCCGGCAAACUCCCUGAUCUCUGAGAUAGACUGAACGAAGUAAGUAUAUUCAAAGGAAAAUUAAAGGAUAAUUCCACUUCAGCCUGGCACGUUUCCUAUGAUUCAUAGUUAAAAGGUUAUUCUGGUUCUGCAGGUUACAGUUCUCCAUCUUUGUUUUUGAGCACUGGCUGAACAAUCACGCACAGCUCGUGCAGCGUGACUGUAAUAUUAAAGCCUGAACCAUGAAAUCAUUUCAGAAAUGUAAAUUUGUUGAAAUUGGAAUGUUUGUUGAACCUUCUGUCUGUAAAAAAAAUCAACUUUUGUUACAGCCGGCAUAUUUUUGCAGGUUAUUGCUCUCAGUAGCGUUGCAUGUCCCAGUGCGGCUCCAGUUCUUCCUUUGGAGAGAACCAGCUCACUUUUCCAAAGGUUUACGUGCUGAUGGUUACGUGCAGUUCUUUGCAGAACUGGGGUUCAAUUUUUUUUUUAAUGAAAUCUGUUGGCAGCAAGUGCUGAUUUCAUGCAGCAGAGCCACUAUCAGCAGUGGUUUCAGCAUUAGCACAGCUUCAGUGAAAAAGAGCUGCAUGUCUUUAAGUCCUGAAAAAUUCUUGUUGAAUUUACAUUUUUCUUUAACUGCUUGCUGAUGUAAAUGUGUUUGAUCCUGUCUGCUAACUAUUUUUCCCCCUUUUUCCAGGCGUCUGUGUCCGGUGAAGAUUUUUAUUUUUUCAGCCUUGUUCACAUGUAAUGUUUAAUUCUUCCUCUACAUUUGUCCCUGACCUCCAACGCCUUUCUGUCAUCUGAAAUAGAUUUUUGCACAGUUCAUUAUUGGUCUGCUUUCAUGUUUUAGCUCUGUGCUUCUGUGAAUGUCACCAGUUUUGUUUAAUGUUGAUUACAAGAACUAUUUUUUGUAGGCCGUACUGGUUAGUUUGUUAAUGAGAAAUGUAUAUUUUCAUCGUUAAAAAUGUUUCAGCCUGUACAGUUUCCAGUUUUACAUUCACUCUGUC